ACGUGAAUAAACUCUGAUAUUAUAAAGUCAUAAAUUUGCGAGAAAAAAAAAAUCAGAAAAAUUGUGGGGUUUUUUUGUCAAAGAACCACAACCAAGCUUCAGUUUACAAAGUUGGAUCAACCUCAUCACACCACAGACGACGCCGCUUGCCGUGUAUUAAGCCUGCAGUGGAUGACCUCAUCAAAUUAUAUUUUGUAGUCGGAUUUAUCAAUAAGGAAAUACUUGUGAUUUUAGCCAAGAAUCACCAGACUACCAGCAGCAUCCGGACUUAAACUAAAUACUGAUUUGAGGGUUUUUUUCUUGGAAAUGUGUGAUUUUUCUCAGAAUAUUACCUCCCUCCCCGGGCUCCGCAAUUUUCCUUUUUUUAACCUAUGAUGGCCCUAAUAUGCCGCCGUACUAAAUAGUGGGACUUAAAGUAAAACAUUUAAAAAUAAAAAAAGUGUUUUUUAUGUAAAAUAAAAUGUAUAUAGUAUGUCAUUGCCACUUUGCUAUUGUAUAUAAUAUUUUAUUGUUGUUCUGUGUUUAUAUUUUCUAAGCCAGUUGUAGUACUCUGGUAUAUUUAUAGUGUAUUCUAAUAUAUUUUUUAUAUUGUGUGUACUAUAGAUAUUUAUCUCCAGUGUUGAUAUGUAUAUUUACUGUUCCUGUGCAUUACCUGGAUAACCCGCUGCUGUAACACAACAAUUUCCCAUUUUGGGAUCAAUAAAAUCCAUCCAUCCAUCCAUCCAUCCAUCCAUCCAUCCAUCCAUCCAUCCAUCCAUCCAAAUCGCUAUCUGAAAAGUAGCCACACCUGUUAAAUAAAUGUAGUGCAGUAAAAAGUACAAUAUUUACCUCUGAGAUGUAGUGGAGGAGAGGUAGAAAGUAGCAAACUAUGAAAAUAAAAAGUAAAGUACAAGUAUCUCAAACAUUGUACCUUAGUACAGUAGUUGAGUAAAUCUCCUCCUUUCCACCACUGAGUCGUGUUUUUGUCCACCUGAUGAACUAUAUUAACUCCUGAGGGAGAUAUUUCUCUCUGUGGUAUCACAACCGACAUAAAGGUUAGGCUCUAAUUAGGUCAAACACUUGGAUGUUAUCUAGCUGGUUAGCUGGUUGCAGCAGUAAUGGGAACACAGCACACACACACACACACACACACACACUGAGUAACGGAGCGGGUGAUGAAGGACUGAUGGCACACUGAUGACCUACUUUAGUUCAACAUCAGCAUCCUGUUGUUGUGGGACGACCGGGAGUGAUGAUGAAAGAUGCACAGACAGCCUAUUAAGCUCUAUAAUUAUUAGUACCACCAGAGGAUUGGGAACCACUGUCUCUCAUGACCUGUCUUCCUUGUUAUAAUGUAUAAAUGUAUUCUAAUGUUUUUAAAUAUAUAUUUUAUGUUUUAUAGUUACACAUUUCAUAUAUGGCACAUUUUAUAUUUUAUUAUCCCCAUAUUUCAUGUUUUGUAUCUCACACAUCCCAAUUUUGUCUCUGAUUUUUUUUUUUACACGUAAACGUCCACUCAGCCGUCAGCAAAAAGCAAUGACGUAGGUUACCACAGUAAACUAAUCAAUAAGGUUAUGAAUAAUGUGAACACUAGCACUAGCUGAGUCAACGUUAGCUGUGAUAAGUUUGGAAAUAACUGAAAGGGUUAGUUUGGAUUGUUUUGAAGUGGGGUUGUAUGUAUACUC